rnacentral:rRNA from 1 species
AGUGAAACGGGAUGAGCCCAGCGCUGAAGCCGGCAGUCGCGAGGCUGUCGUGCAAUGUGGCGUUCGAGAGGACUCAAUGUCGCUGUGCAUCAUCGGUUCAAGUCUUCUGGAAAGAAGUCCCGCAGAGGGUGAUAGGCCCGUACGGCCGACUGAUGUGUUCAGCGACAAGUCCUCUUUCGAGUCGGGUUGCUCGCUAAUGCAGCCCAAAGCAGGUGGUAUGCUCCAUCUAAGGCUAAAUAUAACCACAAGUCCGAUAGUGGACAAGUACAGUGAUGGAAAGUUGAAAAGUACUCUGAAGAGAGAGUCAAAUAGCCCGUGAAGCUGCUUGAAUGGGAUAAAGCGCACGUGUGACACGUGUUGUUCGACAAAUAGGCGACCGGCAAUUGGUUCGCUGAUCGGUUGUGCAGUGGCUGUGCGAUUCGUCGUCGGCCGUUGUCAAUCGGUGAGCGUGUACGCCAGUUGUUGAGCGCUUUCCUUUGUUGAACACUCGAACAGGUCGUGCUGUCGUUGCACCCAAUCCUGACGGCGUGUGUUAAUCGUCGAGCCAACGUCGGCCGGCGUCGCUGGUGCAAGCCAGCGGUGUCGGUGUCGCGCUGAAACGGCGCACGAUCGCUUUGCGGCGGUUGUGCGACAGCGCCGGCGCUCGGUUGGCGGUGUGUUGUGCCACGCGCGCUAGAGAUUGUGCAACGGGUAGCGAAGUGCGAGCGACUCUCAGUCGCUCGUCAACGGCCUUUGUGUUGUCACGUGCGGCCCGUCUUGAAACACGGACCAAGGAGUCUAACAUGUGAGCAAGCGAUUGAGAUUUUCACGAAUCUCAAACGCACAAUGAAAGUGAAGUGUCGCAUAUGGCGGCACAAGCGGAGACCGGCGGCUGUUUGCGCAGUCGCCGAGCAUCCGCGGGCCGCGCCAUCGGCUGGCUUGCUGGUUUGUUCUGGCACUGCCGAGGCGUGGACCUAGAGCUGACACGCUGAGACCCGAAAGAUGGUGAACUAUGCUUGGCGAGGAUGAAGCCAGGGGAAACCCUGGUGGAGGUCCGUCGCGAUUCUGACGUGCAAAUCGAUCGUUUCAGCUGAGUAUAGGGGCGAAAGACCAAUCGAACCAUCUAGUAGCUGGUUCCGCCUGAAGUUUCCCUCAGGAUAGCUGGCACUAGUUGAUACGGAGUUUCAUCCGGUAAAGCGAAUGAUCAGAGGAUGCUGGGCUGAUCUGAAGCUCAACCUAUUCUCAAACUUUCAAUGGGUGAGACGUCUCGCUGGCUUCAAUGCAGCGACGACUCUGAAUCCGAGUGCCUAGUGGGCCACUUUUGGUAAGCAGAACUGGCGAUGCGGGAUGAACCGCAUAUCGAGUUGAGGUGCCUAAGCGAACGCUAAUCAGAAACCAUGAAAGGUGUUGAUUGCUCACGACAGCAGGACGGUGGCCAUGGAAGUCGGCAUCCGCUAAGGAGUGUGUAACAACUCACCUGCCGAAGCAAUCAGCCCUGAAAAUGGAUGGCGCUACAGCGUUCCACCGAUACUCGACCGUUGUCGGCAUGCGACGUGUGCUCGCACACGUCUCAGGCCACAACGAGUAAGGUGGCGUGGCGGUCAGCGUUGAAGGCUUGGUCGUGAGACCGGCUGGAGCGGCCGUCAGUGCAGAUCUUGGUGGCAGUAGCAAAUACACAAGCAAGAUCCUUGUGGACCGAUGUGGANAAGGGUUCCGCGCGAACAAUAUUUGGACGUGGGUGAGUCGGCCCUAAGCCAAUGGGUAAUUCCCACAUCCCAGUGUAAAGUUGCACGCACGCACGCACGCUGUGAGUGAGUGAGUGAGAACACACACCGGGUUGGU